CCUACGGGAGGCAGCAGUAAGGAAUAUUGGUCAAUGGACGAAAGUCUGAACCAGCCAUGCCGCGUGAAGGAUGAAGGCCCUCUGGGUUGUAAACUUCUUUUAUCUGGGACGAAAAAAGGGAAUUCUUUCUCACUUGACGGUACCAGAGGAAUAAGCACCGGCUAACUCCGUGCCAGCAGCCGCGGUAAUACGGAGGGUGCAAGCGUUAUCCGGAUUCACUGGGUUUAAAGGGAGCGUAGGUGGGUCUGUAAGUCAGUGGUGAAAUCUCCGAGCUUAACUCGGAAACUGCCAUUGAUACUAUAGGUCUUGAAUUAUCUGGAGGUAAGCGGAAUAUGUCAUGUAGCGGUGAAAUGCUUAGAUAUGACAUAGAACACCAAUUGCGAAGGCAGCUUGCUACGGAUAUAUUGACACUGAGGCUCGAAAGCGUGGGGAUCAAACAGGAUUAGAUACCCUGGUAGUCCACGCCCUAAACCGAUGGAUACUCGACAUCAGCGAUACACUGUUGGUGUCUGAGCGAAAGCAUUAAGUAUCCCACCUGGAGUACGACCGCAAGGUUGAAACUCAAGGAAUUGACGGCUGAGAGAGACGAGCGACGACGAGGGAGGAGG
rnacentral:rRNA from 1 species